GACUUCUGGGAAAAACUUUCUCUCCGAUGGCGGCAGAGCAGGGAGGAAACUUUUGCUUGAGUUUCUCUCUUCCAGUGUGGGCACUAUUUGUUAUAGUUAAAAAGUCCCCCAAUUCUUUGACCUUGCUUCCAAAGGUGGAGCCCAUUUCCCCUCCUGCUGAGCGUGGGCCACACUUAGCGACUGGCUUUCAAUGAAGAGAAUGUAACAGAGGUGAAAGUGUGUGACAUUCGAGGAAAGGCCAUAAAAGACAUUGGUGCUUCAGCUUUGCUCUCGCGGCUGUCUGACUCUGGGGGAAGCCAGCCACCACGUCAUGAGGACACCCAAACAGCCUACGGAGAGGCCCACGUAGGGAGGAGCUGAGGCCCCCUGCCAGCAAGCAGCCCUAGCCCGCCAGCUGUGUGAGUGAGCGAGCCUUUUUGGAAGUGCAUCCUCCUGUCCCAGUCCAGCCCUCAGAUGGCUGCAGCCCUGCUAGCAUCUUGACUGCCGCCUCAUGAGGGACCUCAAGCCAGAACCAACAGCCACGUGGUGCCAGAAUUCCUCAUCUGCAGCAGCCAUGGAAUAAAAAGGCCUACCUCAUUGGGCUCGUGUGGGUGAGGAGAACUGAAGAGUCUGAGAGCGCGGCACGAGCCAGAGGCUACGGAAAACACUGCCCUCCUACACUCCACCUUGGAGAGACCCAGAAAAGAACAAGCUUCAUUUGUAAAAAAGGAAAACAACUCAGGCAAUGGGGGUGGCUUAAAGGCACUCUACAGUGUGCAGAUGCCUUCCACUUCUUCCAUCUGCCCUGUCUCUCCAAGAACCCCUAUGGCCCCGGUCUCAGAACAGAGCUGAGUGCAGAAAUGAAAAUCUAUGGCUCUGUGUUCCAAAACGAUGAAGAAUUUCAAGAUGGUGGCAGUGGUAAAAUCUUUCUCCAGGAAAAAUCUGUCCUUGGCCCAAUGUGUAAACACUUGCUGAGGAACUUGGAAUAACUUGCAGUGUCUUGCAGUAUUGUGAAACCAGCAACUUGUUCACAAUUCUUCUGAAUUUCUUGGGAAAUUUGAAGUGGAGUACCUGUACCAACAUGAAAUGACACGAAUUUAAGUGACGCUCAACAACGAAAAGCAAAAAGAACCAAAGAGGAAGCAACUGAAACAACAUCUGGAUGUAUUUAAAAAUAUACAAUGCCUCCAAAAUCAGGUGUCAUUAAUGAAAAUUCUGAAGAAAUGCCACCGGACAUAGCCAACGCACCUACGCUGUUGUUAUUCAUUUCCUGCUUUUCACAGAAAACAAUUUUGUUGCAUGGAAGAUCGUGAACUUCAAAGGGCAGAGGGGAAACUGUCCCUUGGCCUCUACCCCUCCAAGGCCCCACUUUUUUGUCAACACUCCUUGGACGCAGCAGAAGUAUGAACAUAAUAUGGUCCUGAAUGAGGCUGAGUCUUUGGGCGCAGAAGACCCGGGUUAAUAAAAAUAGGAAGGUAAGAAAAGAAAAGAAAAAUCAAGACACAUCAUAGGACUAAAUUCCUAUUAUUUAUCCACUCAGGAUUGACCACCCCUUUGGGCCAGAUAGUUGUACCCCCAUGUACCAGGUGGGCACAUGAAGACACAAGAAGUGCUGUGAUGGUUCAUUUUGCACGUCACCUUGCGUGGAGUAUGCCAACUCAUUGUUUGGUCAAACACUAGUCUGGACAUGGUGGUAAAGGUAUUUUUUAGAUGAGAUUAACACUUAAAUCAGUAAAGCAGGUUACCCACCAUACUACGGGUGGGCCCUGUCCAAUCAGUUGAAGGCAUUAAGAACAAAGAUUGAGGUUUCCUAAAGAAGAUGGAAUUCUCCUUGAGACUACAACAUAGAAACCCUAUCUGAGUUUCCAGCCUGUUGCCCUGUGGAAUUCAAACUCAGGACUCCGGUCUAUGACAUUAACCCUCACUUAACUUUUCAGCCUGCCAGCCUGCCCUAUGGAUUUCGGACUUGCCAGCCACACAAUUCCUUAAAAUAAAUCUCUCCGUC
ensembl:lncRNA DRAIC downregulated RNA in cancer, inhibitor of cell invasion and migration